rnacentral:rRNA from 1 species
UACAGAGGUGGCAAGCGUUGUUCGGAAUUACUGGGCGUAAAGGGCGCGUAGGCGGCUUGGUCAGUCCCGUGUGAAAUCCCUCGGCUCAACUGAGGAACUGCACGGGAAACUGCCUGGCUUGAGUCCGGGAGAGGUGAGUGGAAUUCCCAGUGUAGCGGUGAAAUGCGUAGAUAUUGGGAGGAACACCAGUGGCGAAGGCGGCUCACUGGACCGGAACUGACGCUGAGGCGCGAAAGCGUGGGGAGCAAACAGG